GACGAACGCUGGCGGCGUGCUUAACACAUGCAAGUCGAACGGAAAGGCCUGCUUUCCCUUGUGGAUUGCGGGUACUCGAGUGGCGAACGGGUGAGUAACACGUGAGUGAUCUGCCCCCAACUUGGGUAUAAGCCUGGGAAACUGGGUCUAAUUCCCGAUAGGACUGCAGGGUGGUGCCUGUGGUGGAAAACGAUUUUCUAGUGGUUGGGGAUGAGCUCGCGGCCUAUCAGCUUGUUGGUGGGGUAAUGGCCUACCAAGGCGGCGACGGGUAGCCGGCCUGAGAGGGUGGACGGCCACAUUGAGACUGAGAUACGGCCCAGACUCCUACGGGAGGCAGCAGUGGGGAAUAUUACACAAUGGGCGGAAGCCUGAUGCAGCGACGCCGCGUGGGGGAUGACGGCCUUCGGGUUGUAAACUCCUUUCGACCGCGAGGAAGCCACCUGGUUGGAAGGGUGGUGACGGUAGUGGUAGAAGAAGCACCGGCUAACUACGUG
rnacentral:rRNA from 1 species